UCCACGCCGUAAACGAUGAGCACUAGGUGUCGGGGUCGCAAGACUUCGGUGCCGCAGUUAACGCAUUAAGUGCUCCGCCUGGGGAGUACGCACGCAAGUGUGAAACUCAAAGGAAUUGACGGGGACCCGCACAAGCAGCGGAGCAUGUGGUUUAAUUCGAAGCAACGCGAAGAACCUUACCAGGACUUGACAUCCCUCUGACAGUCCCUUAACCGGGAUCUCCUUCGGGCAGAGGUGACAGGUGGUGCAUGGUUGUCGUCAGCUCGUGUCGUGAGAUGUUGGGUUAAGUCCCGCAACGAG
rnacentral:rRNA from 1 species